GACGAACGCUGGCGGCGUGCUUAACACAUGCAAGUCGAACGGUAAGGCCCUUCGGGGUACACGAGUGGCGAACGGGUGAGUAACACGUGGGUGAUCUGCCCUGCACUUCGGGAUAAGCCUGGUAAACUGGGUCUAAUACCGGAUAGGACCACUGCCUGCAUGGGCGGUGGUGGAAAGCUUUUGCGGUGUGGGAUGGGCCGGCGGCCUAUCAGCUUGUUGGUGGGGUGAUGGCCUACCAAGGCGACGACGGGUAGCCGGCCUGAGAGGGUGACCGGCCACACUGGGACUGAGAUACGGCCCAGACUCCUACGGGAGGCAGCAGUGGGGAAUAUUGCACAAUGGGCGCAAGCCUGAUGCAGCGACGCCGCGUGAGGGAUGACGGCCUUCGGGUUGUAAACCUCUUUCAGCACCGACGAAGCGCAAGUGACGGUAGGUGCAGAAGAAGGACCGGCCAACUACGUGCCAGCCGCCGCAGUAA
rnacentral:rRNA from 1 species